rnacentral:tRNA from 10 species
GGACGGAUGGCCGAGCGGUUUAAGGCACCAGUCUUGAAAACUGACGUACGGAAACGUACCAUGGGUUCGAAUCCCAUUCCGUCCG